GUUUGCCUGUGUGUGGAUAGUGUUCAGCACCAGGGACAGGUGUGUUUGCCUGUGUGUGGAUAGUGUUCAGCACCAGGGACAGGCGUGUUUGCUU
rnacentral:pre_miRNA from 1 species